rnacentral:lncRNA from 10 species
UACUGUCCCCACAUCACCUAUAAGAACAAUAAGACUCAGAGAAGUUAAGCUCCUUGUGCAAAUCCACAGAGAGAGAAAGUGACAGACAGGAUUUGAAUUCAGGUCUGUCCAUCCCCAGGGACCUGCAGCCUCAAACUGGACAAGCAGUACAUCCUAAGGAGUCUGUUACAGACGAUCAACUCUGGUGUCCCUCCAAGCCAAAGUGGGCCACACGGAGCUGCAGCUGUACGAGAUGUCUGGAUUCUCCCAGUCAGCAAAGAGUUGGGAACAGGGUGGUCACAGAGGAGCCAAGCCAGGGCAGAAAGAUGUCUCCAUUCAGUGAAUACUUAUUGAAUCCUUGCUCUGCACCAGAUCUUGAAGGGAGGGAGGAAAAAGCCUUGAAGCUGACAAUGUAGUUCCUUCAUGUCAAUUAAAUGUUUAUUUAAAAGAGUGCAAAAAUAGAAAAAGGGUGGUUUCUUCCUUUGAGGGAAGCCACGGGCACGUGA